rnacentral:rRNA from 1 species
CCCUUAGAUGUUCUGGGCCGCACGCGCGCUACACUGAUGCAUUCAACGAGCCUAUCCUUGACCGACAGGUCCGGGUAAUCUUUGAAUCUGCAUCGUGACGGGGAUAGAUUAUUGCAAUUAUUAAUCUUCAACGAGGAAUGCCUAGUAGGCGCAAGUCAUCAGCUUGCGUCGAUUACGUCCCUGCCCUUUGUACACACCGCCCGUCGCUCCUACCGAUUGGGUGUGCUGGUGAAAUGUUCGGAUCGGCCGUUUGUCGCGGUUUCCGCGUCAUGUGGCUGAGAAGUUCAUUAAACCCUCCCACCGAGAGGAAGGAGAAGGCGUAACA